rnacentral:lncRNA from 1 species
AAACGUUCAAGUUUAAAGCGAUACUAGAUACCACAAUCAAAUUAGUACAAAUACAUAUAGUGUGGAAGCGUUCAUGCUUAACAAUACCCAUCCAUUAUCCAACCCGCACGUCGGGCGUUCAUAAUACAACUUAAAUUCCAAAAUAUACAUCACAUAUAUCCGAAUGAUACAUUAAACUUCCAAAAGUACAAUCAUAAAGGGGUCAAGCCAAAAUACACUUGAAACCCUAAAACAAAAUAUAUCCAAAAGGAGAUUUCUCCGCGUUAACUCCAUUUCCAUUCCUGUUAAGGAAAACAAAUCUACAGGGUGAGCAAAACGCUCGUGAGGCCAAGGACACACAUGCAAGCACGUAGUUCAAGUAACAAUCCCAAUUACAAGCUAAGCAAUAAUAUGUUUCAAUAAUUAACAAUUUACCGGAAAGUAAAGGGAAACAAUUCAAGGAUAUAGGAGCUCUUAGGAGCUAUAUUCCACUUGCACGAUCAAUAACCUCCACGAAUUGACACUCCGUCAAUCGGGUAGGUUUUGUCCGUAGAACUCCACUUAACCUGUCCCCUUUCACUUUACAUACCCCUGUAUCGGGCCCGCCUGUCAUUUGUUUGUGGCGACACUACUCGAGUAUGCCAAGCAAGAUCUCUCAUUAGGUCAAGCUUAUAUAUCUCAUGGCUCGCCAAGGUUCCCGACCAAACCCAUGCCGACUCGAGUCCAAGGUCGGCCAAUGAGAUGUGGGCGUCCCCAUGUGCAAUUGUGUGUCGAGGAGAUUCACUCCAACGACGUAUGCAGCCAUAGCAUACCAUAUCAUGUAUCAAGCAUUGAUAUGUACAAGCAAUCGAUGUAUCCAAGCAAUCGAUAUAUUCAAGCAAUUUGAGCAUGAGUUAAAUCAUUUCGAAUGAGAACGAGUGCGAUAAAGUACACACUCGACUCCAUUUCCCAAAAUCUCAAGUAUUAAUAACAAGUAAUCACGUAUCGAAUUCACAGGAGUUCAAGUAACACACACUUGACACUCACCAAGUAAAAUGAGAAGAAAAGGGCACUCGAAGUUUAAGCGUCCACCGUGGGAUCCUUUUGUGGGUCCUCGUGUGCGCCUGAGCAAAUAAUAGUAAAGCAUCACUCAUAUAUCCCAAUUGUCAAGGAAGAUUGUACACUAGUACAAUCUAAGGAAAUUUCAUGAAAUCGAACCUCAAUUACUCGGAAAUCGAGGUUCAAUUAGAGUUUCUUAAAGUACAAGAGCGAUCGAGUUUUCAUUUUGGAAAAUCAGGUGUAACAUGUUCAAGUAAUAUCGAAGGAAUAAGGAGUGCUUGAAAACUCCCUUCCUUUGGAAUUCGGAAAAUUUUCAGUUUUGAUACGAUAUUUUGAAAAAUCGUAUCUCACAUUCUACAUGUAAAAAAUUGGAAUACUUGGUACCGUUGGAAACCUCUUUGAAAGUACUAAGAGUUCUUAGAAGACACUUUUCCAUGAAUCUAAGUGGAAGAUAUUCAAAAAUGGGCUUAAAGUUGCUGUUCCAGAACACUCAGAAUUGAGCCGGGGUUGGUUUUUCGCUAACUUUGGAAAUUCGGCAAAAUUCACACGUUGCGAGCUAGCCUAUGAAAUUUGUAACUAAAUUAGAGUUUCAAGUAAGGUUUAUAACAGAAAAACCAAAUCAAGGAUCGGAGUUUCGAGCACCGAGAUACGGUAGCUCGAAGUUUGGGAAAAAUUCAAAACUGGUGAACAAAUUUGCGGAUUUGAGCUUCCAACUUUGGGACUUUAGUUAGGUAUCGAAAUGGACUUGGAUUGGUACAAAAUUCAGCAGUAUAAUACUCCUAUAUAAAGAGUAUCCCUCUAUCAAAUUUCAUGGAAAAAUACCUUCGGGAAGGUAGUCAAUCAAACACCCUAAGUUUCGAAAAUACUAAGACAAAACUGCCUUGAACCUUUUGUUUUCCAUUUCAAACAUUUGGUCAAGGAAAAAUUCCUCAAAAAUGGCUCAUUAGUGUAGGCAAAGCCUAAGGAAUAAUCAUGGUACAUUUGGUAAGUGUUUAGCACCAAAAUAUUCAGUUAGCAAGUCUAUACCAAGCCUUGCAUCAAAUCUGUCCAAAAGUCAGGGUUUUCAAGAGCAGGGCAGGUUCCGUAUUUUGAUCACAAAUCACCCAACUUAACUUAGCAUUGGGCAUGGUUUAUGGCGUUGGAAAACAAAUUCAUAGAUCUAUAAUUUCACAGAAGAAAUCAUUUUGAAAUUCGGCACACAACUAGCUCGAAUUCGAGCCACAAGUUGCAGCCUCAGCAUUUCGUUCCAGUAAAACAGAGAAACAGAACAGCCGACUUUAAAUGGUUGGUUUGGCUCAUAUACAUGGAACCAGAAUGUGCAUUUUAUACCGUCGGAAAGGUUGGAAUUUCUAAUUUCAAAUUCCACUACGGCACUCGAUUUCGACGUCGGAGCACAAAAUUAUGGCCGAAACACGAAAGCUGGUCAGAGCAUUACGGGAACAGUUCCAGAUUUACUAACUUUGUGAAAUCAAUUCAUUUGACCCACCAAACCUCAAUAUUUUUCAAUGAAAUUUUAUACACCAUCUAUACAACAUAUAAACAUCAUAUAUAAGUCAUUACAACCCCAAAAUUCCGCAGAAAUAGAUACGUUCAAAGCAGGGGCAGAAUUGGAACUUUUCCUCUCAUGCAUUUCUUGAAGUUCGUACUACUAAUACACCAUUAAUCUACCAUUUUGAGCACUAAACCAACAUUAAAUUCAUCAUCAAUCAUCACAUCAGCCAUCAAGACAAAGGGUGGGAGUUCAUAGAGCCCACCUUCCAAAUUUCCAACAAUAACAACCACCCAUAUGAAUAUCCAAGCUUAAAGGUGUUAAACAACCUCUAUAAACCAAGUUUAGAGUGUUGGAUCAUUACCUACUUUGGUUUGAUGUUCAAGCAGAAUUCGGCCCCCCCUUUACUCCAGCAAAACCGUGAUUUUCAGCUCCCCUUUGAAGCUCAAAUGAUCCUUAAGUGUUAAGCCACGUGUGGUUUAAGUUGGGUGUGAAUUGGAUGAAGAUUUGUGUAAGAUUUGGAGAUGGAAUUUGCAAAACUUGGAGUUGUUUUGUUGCAGCUGAUGUUUCGGCCAAAUG